rnacentral:rRNA from 1 species
GAUGAACGCUGGCGGCGUGCUUAACACAUGCAAGUCGAACGAUGAAGCCCAGCUUGCUGGGUGGAUUAGUGGCGAACGGGUGAGUAACACGUGAGUAACCUGCCCUUGACUCUGGGAUAAGCCUGGGAAACUGGGUCUAAUACUGGAUAUGACUUCUCAUCGCAUGGUGGGGGGUGGAAAGAUUUAUUGGUCUUGGAUGGACUCGCGGCCUAUCAGCUUGUUGGUGAGGUAAUGGCUCACCAAGGCGACGACGGGUAGCCGGCCUGAGAGGGUGACCGGCCACACUGGGACUGAGACACGGCCCAGACUCCUACGGGAGGCGGCAGUGGGGAAUAUUGCACAAUGGGCGCAAGCCUGAUGCAGCGACGCCGCGUGAGGGAUGACGGCCUUCGGGUUGUAAACCUCUUUCAGUAGGGAAGAAGCGAGAGUGACGGUACCUGCAGAAGAAGCGCCGGCUAACUACGUG